rnacentral:rRNA from 1 species
GACGAACGCUGGCGGCGUGCUUAACACAUGCAAGUCGAACGGUAAGGCCCUUUCGGGGGUCCACGAGUGGCGAACGGGUGAGUAACACGUGGGUGAUCUGCCCUGCACUUUGGGAUAAGCCUGGGAAACUGGGUCUAAUACCGGAUAGGACUACGCGAUGCAUGUCGUGUGGUGGAAAGCUUUUGCGGUGUGGGAUGGGCCCGCGGCCUAUCAGCUUGUUGGUGGGGUGAUGGCCUACCAAGGCGACGACGGGUAGCCGGCCUGAGAGGGUGUCCGGCCACACUGGGACUGAGAUACGGCCCAGACUCCUACGGGAGGCAGCAGUGGGGAAUAGUGCACAAUGGGCGCAAGCCUGAUGCAGCGACGCCGCGUGGGGGAUGACGGCCUUCGGGUUGUAAACCCCUUUCAGCACAGACGAAGCGUAAGUGACGGUAUGUGCAGAAGAAGCACCGGCCAACUACGUG